rnacentral:rRNA from 1 species
UACAGAGGUCUCAAGCGUUGUUCGGAUUCAUUGGGCGUAAAGGGUGCGUAGGUGGCGCCGUAAGUCAGGUGUGAAAUUUCGGAGCUUAACUCCGAAACUGCAUUUGAUACUGCGGUGCUUGAGGACUGGAGAGGAGACUGGAAUUUACGGUGUAGCAGUGAAAUGCGUAGAGAUCGUAAGGAAGACCAGUGGCGAAGGCGAGUCCCUGGACAACUCCUGACACUGGGGCACGAAAGCUAGGGGAGCAAACAGG